rnacentral:sRNA from 1 species
GUGGCAGCUGUGGGGUCUAGGGCUCAGACGGGGGCCAUUUUGCCAGAAGCUGCCUCCCGGAGUUGGGGGCGGCCUGGCGGCAGGCUGAAGCUGCUCUUUUUCCUCUUCUGCAGCUUGGGGCUUGGAGAAGAUCUGGAAGUCUGGGCUCCAUCGAGCCCUUUGGAGACGGCAAUGGUUUCUUCCAACCACCACCACUUGACAACCCUGCAUGGCGGCUGCCCCCUCCGCGCUGCUGCUGCUGCCGCCCUUUCCAGUACUCUCUACCUAUCGGCUCCAGAGCCGCAGUCGUCCUUCCGCCCCAAAGACUGAUGAUAGUCGAGUUGGGGGCAUUAUGAGAGGAGAGAAAAACUACUACUGCCGUGGAGCUGCGGGGGACCACGGUUCCUGCCCCACUACAACUUCGCCUCUGGCCUCGGCCCUCUUGAUGCCCUCGGAGGCAGUCUCAAGCAGGUGGUCUGAGUCUGGAGGCGGUUUGUCAGGGGCAGAUGAAGAGGAGACUCGGCUCCUUCAACUCCUCCGCACUGCCCCGGAUCCUUCUGAGGCCUUUCAGGCUUUGCAAGCUGCUUUGCCGCGGCGGGGCGGUCGACUUGGCUUCCCCCGACGCAAGGAAGCUUUGUAUCGGGCACUGGGCCGAGUGCUUGUGGAAGGAGGUAGUGAUGAGAAGCGGCUCUGCUUGCAACUUCUCUCGGACGUUCUCCGGGGUCAGGGGGAGGCAGGCCAGCUUGAAGAGGCCUUUAGCUUAGCACUUUUGCCUCAACUAGUUGUCUCGUUACGGGAAGAGAAUCCAGCCCUGCGGAAGGAUGCGCUGCAGAUCCUUCAUAUAUGUCUGAAACGUAGUUCUGGAGAGGUUCUGAGAACGCUCAUACAACAAGGACUGGAAAGUACCGAUGCCCGACUUAGAGCUUCCACAGCACUACUGCUUCCCAUCUUGCUUACUACUGAGGACUUGUUGCUUGGUCUGGAUCUCACCGAGGUGAUAAUAUCCCUAGCCCGAAAGCUUGGUGAUCAGGAGACAGAAGAAGAAUCUGAGACAGCUUUCUCUGCACUUCAACAAAUUGGGGAGCGACUUGGCCAAGACAGGUUUCAAUCUUAUAUUUCUCGUCUUCCCUCUGCCCUGAGGAGACACUACAAUCGCCGCCUGGAGUCCCAGUUUGGAAGUCAGGUUCCUUAUUAUUUGGAACUUGAAGCCGCUGGAUUUCCUGAAGAUCCCCUUCCCUGUGCAGUGACUCUUUCCAACAGCAAUCUUAAAUUUGGGAUUAUUCCUCAGGAGCUGCAUUCACGAUUAUUGGAUCAGGAAGACUAUAAGAACCGGACCCAGGCCGUCGAAGAACUAAAGCAGGUGCUGGGAAAAUUUAACCCUAGUUCUUCUACUCCUCAUUCUAGUCUUGUUGGCUUCAUUAGUUUGCUAUAUAAUUUGUUAGACGAUUCUAACUUCAAAGUGGUCCAUGGCACACUUCAAGUCCUGCAUUUACUGGUUAUUCGCCUUGGAGAGCAGGUACAGCAGUUCUUGGGACCAGUUAUAGCAGCUUCUGUCAAAGUGCUGGCAGACAACAAGUUGGUGAUCAAACAAGAAUACAUGAAAAUCUUCCUCAAGCUAAUGAAGGAAGUAGGACCUCAGCAGGUGCUUUGUUUACUCCUGGAACAUCUCAAACAUAAGCAUUCCAGAGUGAGAGAGGAGGUGGUGAACAUUUGCAUCUGCUCCCUGCUGACCUAUCCUAGUGAGGAUUUUGACUUGCCCAAAUUGUCCUUUGAUCUUGCCCCAGCUCUUGUAGAUAGCAAACGCAGGGUACGCCAAGCAGCUUUAGAAGCUUUUGCCGUAUUGGCAUCAUCAAUGGGCUCAGGUAAAACCAGCAUCCUUUUUAAAGCUGUGGAUACAGUUGAACUGCAAGAUAAUGGAGAUGGAGUGAUGAAUGCUGUGCAGGCCAGAUUGGCUAGGAAAACCUUACCAAGGCUAACAGAGCAGGGAUUUGUGGAAUAUGCAGUACUGAUGCCAUCUUCUGCCGGGGGUAGGUCAAACUAUUUGGCACAUGGAGCAGAUACGGACUGGCUUUUGGCUGGUAACAGAACUCAGAGUGCACACUGUCACUGUGGUGACCACGUGAGGGAUAGCAUGCAAAUUUAUGGAUCUUACAGCCCAACUAUCUGUACCCGAAGGGUUUUAAGUGCAGGAAAAGGAAAAAAUAAAUUACCAUGGGAAAAUGAGCAGCCUGGAAUCAUGGGAGAAAACCAGACCUCCACUUCCAAGGAUAUAGAGCAGUUUUCAACAUAUGAUUUCAUCCCAUCUGCAAAAUUAAAGCCUUCUCAAGGAAUGCCAGUCAAUGAUGAUUUAUGUUUUAGCAGAAAAAGAGUAUCAAGAAACUUAUUUCAGAAUAGUCGGGAUUUUAACCCAGAUUCUCUUCCUUUAUGUGCUGCUGGUACUACUAGGACUCAUCAAACAAAUCUUUCUGGGAAAUGUGCACAACUUGGAUUUUCACAAAUAUGUGGUAAAACUGGCAGUGUGGGUUCUGACUUACAAUUCCUAGGGACAACUAGCAGUCAUCAAGAUAAAGUGUAUGGUAGCCUCAAUUUUGGCAGUAAGACACAGCAAACAUUUGGUAGUCAAACAGAGUGUACUUCCACAAACGGUCAAAAUCUAAGUCCAGGAGCUUCCAUCCUUCCAUCCUAUCCUGUCUCAUCACCUCGAACUAGUCCAAAGCAUACAUCUCCUCUUAUUAUAUCUCCAAAGAAGUCUCAAGAUAAUUCUGUUAAUUUCUCAAAUUCCUGGCCUCUUAAAAGCUUCGAAGGACUAUCAAAGCCAAGUCCACAGAAGAAGCUUGUCAGCCAAAAAUCGUCUGAUCCUACGGGUAGAAAUCAUGGAGAAAAUUCUCGAGAAAAACCUCCAGUUCAGCUUACACCUGCCUUGGUGAGAUCGCCGUCUUGCCGACGAGGUCUAAAUGGGACAAAGCCUGUUCCUCCCAUACCAAGGGGAAUAAGCCUUUUGCCUGAUAAAGCUGAUUUAAGCACAGUGGGACACAAAAAGAAAGAGCCUGAUGAUAUUUGGAAGUGUGAAAAAGAUAGUCUUCCAAUUGAUCUUUCAGAAUUAAAUUUCAAGGAUAAAGAUUUGGAUCAAGAAGAGGUUAGAACCAAUUAUUUUUAAUGACUUAAAAAUAUUUGCAAUUUUCUAUAAUAUAGUUGCUAUUUAAGGAAAAAUCAAGUUCUUUUAUCCUAUAAUAUCUUAUUUCUAAAAAUAUGUUCAUUAUAGAAAAUGUGGAAAAUACCAUGAAUUAGUAGGAAGGGAAUUUAUCAUGCCAGUUCCCACUACCAGAAUAAUUUACUGUUAACACUCUACUGUAUUUUCUUCAAGUAUUUUUUCUAUGCAUACAUUAUUCCUUUUUAAAUUAAAAGUAUGAAUAAUAAUAUAGCAAUACACUCAUGUACUGACCCUUCCAGUGAACAAUUUGUCAUAUUUGUUUCCUAUAUUUAAAUAAAUGAAAUAUAGCAUAGUUCUCUCCCCAGUUCAACAUCUCUUCCUUCUUCACCAGAGGCAAUCACUAUUACCAUUUAUUUAUGUCUUAUGUAUUUUUGUACUUUUUAUAUUAAUAUUAUUUUUGUGUAUUAAUUUACUUACGGUGUAUUUAUGCCAUUGAUUUUGGUUUAUGAUCAGUCUUUUGCAGUUGCAAACAGUGAACUGCAAUGAACAUAUUUGAACCUGUCCUUUGUGCUUCUGUGCAAGCUUACUUAUCUUUAUGAAAUUGAGAUCAUAUUGUACACUCAUCUUUGAAUCCUAGAUCACUUUGUGCUAUAAAAAUGUUAGCAAUAUGAUAACUGUACGUAAUAAUUAUGUCAGACAAGGAAUGUGGUUGCUGUAUUACUUUGGUUUCAGAGUACUAUUUCCAUAGAUGCCUCCUUUUUAUCAUUUCAGUUUGCUUCAUGUCAGGUUAAAAAAAAAGUUUUAUAUUAAAUAUAUAAAUGCAAAUAAUUAUGAUAUUUUAUGGUCUUAGUCUGUUUUUAAGGUAUAAGCAUCAAUCAUGUAAUGAUAACUUGCUCAAUAAAAUAGAGUUAAUAUUACUGUAUAUUCAUUUUUAAAGUAUGUCUUUAUGUUAAACACAUGUAAAACUAACCUAUAAAGUACCAAAGUUGGUUGUUAAUGAUUUAAAGUAAUCACCCCAACUUCUGCUUGUGAAAUCUUUCCUUUUUCUUUUUUUCCCCCCAACUCAUUUGUAUUUUAGUAGUGCUAGGAAGGGAAUUCAUUUGAAGGGAAGAAACAUAUAGAAAAGACAUUUUCCUACAUAACUUAUAAAUUUCACCUGAUCCUACAUAAUUUUGCUUUGUUUUUAUAAUAACUUAAAAAUAGUUCUUUUUUUAGUGGGUAAUUGAAAGGUGAGUUUUUGUUAUAUAAUUAUUAGUAAAUACAGGAGGAUACCAUUGCUUUUAGAUAUUCAACUUUUCACGCUUUUAAUAGAGCAGUGGCCCUACUAUUGAAUCAACUAGUAUAGUUGUUGAAAAUUACUUAUCCUCCCUUAUAGUUGCUAAUAUGACACUUCUUGUUUAUUAUUUUGAAUGGGUCAUUGUUUAUAUUGUUUGGUGUGAGUUGACUUUUGACAAAGGCAUAAGUUUUCAUGUGCUUAAUAUGCUUAAUAAUGUAUCAAACACUUUCAUUUUCAUUAGUUCAUUUAAUCUUUACAGUAACUCCCUGAGUUAAGAAGCAAGUCAACAUCUAUUAUGUUUUUUGUUUGUGUGUGUGUUUGUUUUUACAGAAGGGUCUCAGUGAUGUUAUGUGUCUUGCUCAGGGUCAGAAAGUAUGUGGUAGGACUAGGAUUCAAGCACUGUUCACCUAACUUUAUGUUCAUUAUGUUUUUCACUGUACUACACUGCCCUAAAUCCAUUAAAGUGUUUUUUUGUUGUUGUUGUUGAAUUUGCCUUCCAGCUAUGAAGACCUAAGAAAUUUAUGGAUGUUUGCUUUAAUUGAAAACAGAUACUUUCAUUAAAUGAUUAAUCUUAUGAAUCAAAUGUAAACAAAACA